GUCUUUGACAUAGGUUAGUCAGUACAUCUGAAAUAAGAAUUUUAAAUGGGAAAAAAAUAAAAAGCCCAGAGGAUUUGAAGAUUAUCUUCAGCUUUUUGGUGUGAUCCUGCAGCAGUUCUCACAUCUCUCAUUUGACAGCACUGUUAUAAACAAUGAUGAAUCUCUUAAUUUUAGAGUUGUCAAGAAAGGUCUCCAUUUUCUUAGUUAGUUUCCUUUUUAAUUUUUCUACAUUCACAUCAAGAAUAGCAGGAGAGUCUGAUCUGGCAUGGACACUGUCAUUCUUUCAGGUAGGCUGAUGGUCUCGGUGUGACUAGGGCUGUGGAUACAGCUGUUUGGGAAGGAAAGCUUAUGCAGGCACCAGCACUUUAGUCCCCUCCCAGGGGACAGAUCAUCUGUAUUAGCCGAGCAUCUGUCCUUGAUAGAAAUAAACAGUUAACCCAAAUGACAAACCCAAAUGACAGUCACAUGCCUGAACACCUUUUGGAUGACCUAAUUCCUGUACACAUGACUCUUCUACUAGAUGGGCGAACUAUUCUUUACUAUCUCCCUGCAUUGAUGUGCACUAGAUGUGUCCCAGAGAGGAGUGAGGAGGCCUUUUACACAAAACAGGAUAAGACAUCUAAUAGACAGCCAUUUCAACACAGUAUUACUGUUUUUACUGUAUCUGAAAAUGAAUAAUGAUAUUAUAAAGUAUGUUAGCACUGAAAGACUGAGACUGCAGUCAUGGGAAACGUGUAUGCUCUUAUUAUGGUUUUUCUUAGAUAAUUCCACAAUAGUUCUCUGAAAUACUCUCUAGAGCUUCAGUUUGAUCAUAUUUAUGUUUUUCCAUGGGUUUUUUUAUGUUUUUCCAUGUUUGGUUUUUUUUUUUAUUUCUAAGAAGGCUGCAGAUUAACAACUCUGGUCUUACUCAUCACUACCAAAUAUAUUUUCUGUCCUCUGCAAACCCUGUGAUGACCUCCACAGUAAUGCAAACAUCUCCACUGCAAUUACUCAAAUCCUAUUACCCCUUUGGUGAAUUAAAUAUUUACUGUGUUUAGAUGUCAGCUUUAAAAUUGCUACAGCUCUCCCACUCUGCUUCUGAAGACAGGAGAAGUAUCUAACAUUAGAAACAAAACAGGGUUAAUUUAUCAUCAAGUACAACUUAAUGUACUUAAGUACAUACUUACUAGUACUCUACUUGAUAUUUAUUAGUCCUUGCCUUGAGCAGGAGAUAGAUUUGUGGGUGAAGAUCUGCCCUUAAGCUGACAUGCCUUCCUGGUUAAUACUGCAGGACACCCUAGGGGAUAUCUCCACUCUAAUCUGUGUGUGUGUGCUCAGCAUCUCCUGUUAUUCACUGGAUCAGUGCAAUCUAGCUGGCUCAUUACCUUGUCAUGGCAGGGAAAAUAUUCAGAGCAUUGACUUCUUUUUACCGUACCUUUGAUCCAUGAAAGUGGGAAGUGGGAAAUGUGUCAAGAAAAGAACAAGUUGACACCAAGUUUUUAAAAUAAAAUCAAGUAACAGAAUUUUCUUGAGAUUUUAACAAAUCUGCCAGCCUUGCAUAAAACUGUCAGUUUCUUACAGAGUCUUCCUCAGUAAUGAUACUAGAUUAAUAAAAUGAGAAUAAAUGGCAGAGCCCUAGCAAUCCAUCCAGAGCUUAGUCAGUAAGGAGUUUUUGCUUCAGCAAUCAAGGUUUAGCUGUCAAAAGACCUUUGUCUCUUUUGUCAAAACUUGUGAGUAUUAAAUUGACUGAAGAUAACUGAAACUAGUCAUCGACCUGAAAAGUCUUGCUCCAACACCUUGACACGCUGAAUGCUGAGUACCACUGUUAUCUGUGAGAAUAAAAUACCUGGAAAAAUAAUCUUAAAAAACGAUCAAUUCUUUUAUCUUUACUGUUAAAAAGAUUGGCAUGAUGUGAGGCAUCUGAUUAAGAUAUAUUCCACAUCACCAGCAAGCUAUUUGCACCCACGUUAGAAUAGCUGUGGAGAAUUAGGUCUCUUCAUCACAGAUGAGGUCAGAACAACUGAUGGUCAUUAGUCCAAGUACAGGUCAGACCAGUCUACUUACACCAUUUACAAAGGGAAACAAUUGUUUUAAUUCCAGCAGAAACUUGUGGCUUUGCAAAGAUCCAUUUUUAGAAACAGCUUUGAUUGCUCUUCUUGAUACUUAGCAACACGACACAAAACUAGCAGUUGCAGCCACUGGAUAGGUUUCUGACAAAGCUCUUUGUGACAAAAAGCAGUAAGAGUACCCAACAACUCAGACACUGACAAAUCAAUGCUUUUCAACAGCCUCCUGCAGAGCAGAAACUAAGGUGAACCCAGGAGAAGUUAGAGACCUUGACAGGUGAUCCUGUCAGCAAAGUUUAGUAAACCUUGUGCCUUGUGACAAAUACAUUUACCAGCUGGAUGGAGCAUAUUUGCAGUGUGCUCUCUAUGGAGAUGCUGUCUCUGUGAAUUACUGUGGUGCAGACGAAAAACAUCUGGCAUUCCCUUCUGAGGAAAGAGGAAUUACAGUGAUUCCAGAUUACUGCUCUAUUUUAAAGAGGGCGGUGUGGCCCAGUGGGCUGGAACACAAGAGAUGGAUUCUCUACCAGAUUUUAUGACAGAAAAGAAGUGCAGCUUUUGAAUCCUGGUACAUUGAAUUAGUCAUUGGUUCAUUUUACCAUGCUGUGAGAAGUGCAAGCAGAGUCACUGACAGCUGUUCUCCUGAAGUGUUCUGUACUAAAAGAUGAUUGGUGCACAUUCAACGUUUGGAGUCUUGGCAUCAUAUGCAGUUACAGAAAUGGUAAUGGAAAAGUUUCAAGAACAGCAAUGAUGUAGUGCAAUGGUUCUCGUCCCUAAUUAGGAUAGAUUCAAUAAGGUGAAGUGCUGAAUCCUGUCCCUGGGUCACAAGAAUCCCAUGCAGUGCUACAAG